GAGCAUCCUGUUCGUAUACUGAAUGUAUCCUGAUUUUGUUUCCCUUUCCGGUAUACCUUCAGUAUACGUAACAGGCCACUC
rnacentral:pre_miRNA from 1 species